rnacentral:rRNA from 1 species
GAGAAGCUUGCUUCUCUGAUUUAGCGGCGGACGGGUGAGUAACACGUGGGCAACCUGCCCUGUAGACUGGGAUAACUUCGGGAAACCGGAGCUAAUACCGGAUAAUUCUUUUAGCCUCAUGGCUUUAAGCUAAAAGGCGCUUCGGCGUCACUACAGGAUGGGCCCGCGGUGCAUUAGCUAGUUGGUGGGGUAACGGCCUACCAAGGCAACGAUGCAUAGCCGACCUGAGAGGGUGAUCGGCCACAUUGGGACUGAGACACGGCCCAAACUCCUACGGGAGGCAGCAGUAGGGAAUCUUCCACAAUGGACGAAAGUCUGAUGGAGCAACGCCGCGUGAGUGAUGAAGGUUUUCGGAUCGUAAAACUCUGUUGUAAGGGAAGAACAAGUGCGUUAGGUAAUGAACGCACCUUGACGGUACCUUAUUAGAAAGCCACGGCUAACUACGUGCCAGCAGCCGCGGUAAUACGUAGGUGGCAAGCGUUGUCCGGAUUUAUUGGGCGUAAAGCGCGCGCAGGUGGUUUCUUAAGUCUGAUGUGAAAGCCCACGGCUCAACCGUGGAGGGUCAUUGGAAACUGGGAGACUUGAGUGCAGAAGAGGAUAGUGGAAUUCCAAGUGUAGCGGUGAAAUGCGUAGAGAUUUGGAGGAA